AUAUCUUCUGAACUCUGACAUAUAUGUAGCAAAAUUUCUCUUUAUUGUCUGGAAUACACAGAAAAUUAUAUUUGCAUAUUAAUUAAUCGUUUAGCAUUAAACCUGGCCGUAUCAGUCCCAAACGUUCAAGCUAUUUUACGUUAAAACUGCCCACAUCUGGCCUCUUCCACUCACCCUGCAAUGUCAUUCUAAACAUAAACAAUCACAUCAUUGAAAUCUUAAAGCAAUAAGAUAAUGAAUGAUUAAUUCAGAAGAAUUUGAAUAAAUAAUCAUUAGAUUUGACAGUGUAAUCUGCGUGUUAAUGAGUUAAAGUAAUUAAGAAGGCAGUUUGCAGCAUCUUCAGAUAUUAACAAAGAUCACUUUUGAUGGAGAUAUAUCAGUAGAAAUAUUUGAUGUGAGCAAUAUAUGAGAAGAAGGAAAACCUUUGUGUACUGUGACGAGAGAAAGGAAAAUCAUGGAAAAGGAAUUUUGUGAAAGAACUGAUUUUUCUGAUGAUGUAAACAAUGAAAAGGGCAAAAUAUCAUAUGAUUGUGAUAUUUGUGGUAAAUUCUUCUCUAGGAAAGCUAGCUUACUCAUUCACAAACGCAUUCAUACAGGAGAGAAGCCAUAUCAUUGUGAUAUCUGUGGUAAGUCCUUCUCCCAGACUGGUUCUAUAAUUAUUCACAAGCAUAAUGUUCACACAGGAGAAAAACCAUAUUGCUGCGAAAUCUGUGGUAAAUCAUUCUCACAAGGUAAUGACCUGACUAAGCACAGAUGCGUUCAUACAGGUGAGAAGCCAUGUCACUGUGAUACCUGUGGUAGAUCGUUCUUUCGAAAUCAUGUCUUGGCUAGGCACAGACGCAUUCAUACAGGAGAGAAGCCAUAUCAUUGUGAUAUCUGUGGUAAGUCCUUCGCUCAGACUAGUUCCGUGACUAUCCACAAGCGUAACGUUCACACAGGAGAAAGACCAUAUCGCUGUGAAAUCUGUGGUACAUCAUUCUCUCGAAAUAAUGGCUUGACUAGGCACAGACUUAUUCAUACAGGAGAGAAGCCAUAUCACUGUGAUAUUUGUGGUAAAACAUUCACUCAAAAUAAUGGUUUGACUAGGCACAGACGCAUUCAUACAGGAGAGAAGCCAUAUCACUGUGAUAUCUGUGGAAAAUCAUUCUCUGAAACUAGUCCCUUAAGUAUUCACAAGUGUGUUGUUCACACAGGAGAAGAACUAUAUAACUGUGAAUUCUGUGGUAAAUCAUUCUCUCAAAAUAAUGACUUGGUUAAUCACAAACGCAUUCAUACAGGAGUGAAACCAUAUCACUGUUAUAUUUGUGGUAAAUCAUUCUGUGAAGAUAUAAACUUAACUAAUCACAUACGUAUUCACACAGGAGAGAAGCCAUAUCAGUGCUAUAUCUGUGGUAAAUCAUUCUCUCACGGACCCAAUUUAGCUGUUCACAAACAUGUUCAUUCAAGUGUGAAGCCAUAUCACUGUGAAAUCUGUGGUAAAUCCUUCUCUCGAAACGAUUACUUAACUUGCCAUAAGCGUGUUCAUACAGGAGAAAAGCCAUAUCAUUGUGAUAUUUGUGGUAAAUCAUUUUCUCAUAAUUAUACCUUGACUAUUCAUAAAUGCAUUCACACAGGAGAAAAACCAUAUCACUGUGAUAUCUGUGGAAAAUCAUUCUCUCAAACUAGUCCCUUAACUAUGCAUAAACGUACUGUUCACACAGGAGAAAAACCAUAUCACUGUGAAAUCUGUGGUAAAUCUUUCUCUCGAAACGAUACCUUAACCCAGCAUAAGCGUGUUCAUACAGGAGAAAAACCAUAUCAUUGUGAUACCUCUGGUAAAUCAUUUUCUCAAAAUAGUCAGCUGCUUAAUCACUGAUAUAUUCAUACUGGCGGAAAAAACCAUAUCUCAUGCGAAAUCUGUGGUAAAUCAUUCUUUCAAAAUAAAGGCGUGACUAAUCACAGACGCAUUCAUACAGGAGAGAAGCUGUAGCAAUGUCAUAUCUGUGGUAAAUUAUUUUAUGAAAAUAGAAUCUUAACUAAUCAGAUACAUAUUCACACAGAUGAGAAGUCAUAUCAUUGCGGUGUCUGUGGUAAGUCAUUCUCUGAUGGACCGAGGUUAACUGUUCGCAAAUACAUUCAUUCAAGUGUGAAAACCAUAUCACUGUGAAAUCUGUGGUAAAUCCUUCUCUCAAAAUGGUCGCGUAACUAUUCACAUACGCAUUCAUACAAGACAGAAGCCAUAUCACUGUGAUAUCUGUGGUAAAUCAUUCUCUACAUGGAGUGCCUUAUUUAAACACAAAUACAUUCAUACAGAAGAAAAGCCAUAUCAUUGUGAAAUCUGUGGUAAAUCUUUCUCUCGAAACGAUCACUUAACCAAGCACAAGCAUGUUCAUACAGACAGAGAACACAUUUCAUGAGGAAUAGAUUCAUUUCCCAAGUUACAGACAUUGUUUAUGAGUUUUAUUUUUCAAGCACAACAUCCAAAUUUUGAAAGUUUCUACUACCAUAACAAAUGCACCUGUGUCUUACCAAGAAGUUUAUAAAGAGCAAAGGAAUGCUUCUCAGUAAACAACUCUAGACUUGUUUCUUUGCUUGUGAAUCAGUGGUCACGUCUACUAAUGAUGUGAUUCAGAAAACAAUUA
rnacentral:misc_RNA from 1 species